UCUUUAUCCACGUGCUUCCAUGCCUUGGAGUCGGCAGGGUGUCGCAUUUACCAUCUUGGACCAGGCCCUCCUUAUGCCAACGCAUAAAUUCAGAUAUGGUCUCUCUCAUGUAUAACCUUUGCAGUCGAGGUGUAACUGGGAAAUACCUUAGGAUUUUCUGCGAAAAAUGCUUCUUGGUUGCAGUAUCACCACCCACAUCCUUUUCACCAGAAUCAUCCAUUUUCCAUCUCGACUCACCACAUGUUGGGCACGAAUCCAGGGAAGAGUAUUUCUUUCGAAAUAAAACACAAUCAUUGAUACAUGCAUGUAUCUUUCCAUAGUCUAGACCAAGAUCACGAACUACCUUUUGCACUUUGUCCAAUGUGUCUGGCACACAGUGGCCUUCAGGGAGAACCAAUGAGAACAAAUGAAUAAUGACCUCUAAUGCGUUGUUACUAAUACCAAA
rnacentral:lncRNA from 1 species